UACGUAGGGUGCGAGCGUUGCCCGGAUUUAUUGGGCGUAAAGGGCGCGUAGGCGGCCACGCACGUCCGUUGUGAAAUCGCCCGGCUCAACUCGGCGGGGUCAGCGGAUACGGUGUGGCUCGAGCAAGCUAGGGGGCAAUGGAAUUCCCGGUGUAGUGGUGGAAUGCGUAGAUAUCGGGAGGAACACCAGUGGCGAAGGCGGUUGCCUGGAGCUUUGCUGACGCUGAGGCGCGAAAGCGUGGGGAGCGAUCAGG
rnacentral:rRNA from 1 species